GACCAGAAGGAGCUGGGAAGAUGACAGGAUGAUAGCAGCUGGAGAGGACAGAGUGGGAGACAGCUUUGGGCGUGCCAAGCAUUCUCUCAAAGCCUAUGGCAAGUCAUAACUCGGUGCAGGGAUCAAAAGCUUCAAAGGAAUGUGAAUCCACCAUGAAGCUGGACUCAGGAUAACAAGCCUGGUGGAUUGGGGGGAAGUGGUAGAUGGAAGAAAUAGAUCCUAAAUGGAACUACUAUACGACCCUUCUGCUGUGCAAGUGUCCGGAGCAGAAAACUUAUCCCUCCUCUUAGCAGUCACAGCAGAGAGGCUAAGGGUGCAAAGGGUAGGCAAUAAAUGUAUCCUCUCAGCCCUAAAGGGGCUCCCUCCAACAUGGGAAAGUUUGCACUGCCCCUGUCCAUUCUGGUCUAGUCCUGCAGAUACACAGUGGCCUUCAGUCUCCAUACUUCCGGUGUGGUGAAAUGUGCUGUGCUGUGGGAAUAAGUGCUUGUAGGUUCAAAAUCCUGUCUAAUCUGUUGCAGAGGAGGUGAACAGUCUUAACUUCCAGGAACGCUAAACUCAUGUAAAAGAGUGAAUACACUCCUUUAGCCCUGGCUAACUGUGACUCUGAAUGUUCCUUUGGGGUGUUCUCACUCU